UUUUUUUUUUAAGGGAGCUCAAGGU
rnacentral:piRNA from 1 species